UACGAAGGGGGCUAGCGUUGUUCGGAAUUACUGGGCGUAAAGCGCACGUAGGCGGAUACUUAAGUUAGGGGUGAAAUCCCAGGGCUCAACCCUGGAACUGCCUUUAAUACUGGGUAUCUUGAGUUCGAGAGAGGUGAGUGGGAUUCCGAGUGUAGAGGUGAAAUUCGUAGAUAUUCGGAGGAACACCAGUGGCGAAGGCGGCUCACUGGCUCGAUACUGACGCUGAGGUGCGAAAGCGUGGGGAGCAAACAGG
rnacentral:rRNA from 1 species